GACGAACGCUGGCGGCGUGCUUAACACAUGCAAGUCGAACGGAAAGGCCCUGCUUUUGUGGGGUGCUCGAGUGGCGAACGGGUGAGUAACACGUGAGUAACCCGCCCCUGUCUUUGGGAUAACUUCUGGAAACUGGGGCUAAUACCCGAUAGGAGCUCCUGCUGCACGGUGGGGGUUGGAAAGUUUCGGCGGUUGGGGCUGGACUCGCGGGUUACCGGCUUGUUGGUGGGGUAGUGGCAUACCAAGGGUUUGAAGGGUAGCCGGCCUGGGAGGGGGACCGGGCACAUGAGGACUGAGAUACGGAGCAGACGCCUACGGGAGGCAGCGGGGGGAAGUAUUGCGCAAUGAGCGGAAGCCUGAUACAGAAGCGCCGGGUGCGGGAUGACGGCCUUCGGGUGGUAAACCGCUUUCGCAUGUGACGAGGCGUGAGUGACGGUAAUGGGUAAGGAAGCACCGGCUAACUACGUG
rnacentral:rRNA from 1 species